UACGUAGGGCGCAAGCGUUGUCCGGAAUUAUUGGGCGUAAAGAGCUCGUAGGCGGCCUGUUGCGUCCGCUGUGAAAUCCCGGGGCUCAACCCCGGGCCUGCAGUGGAUACGGGCUGGCUAGAGGCAGGCAGGGGAGAACGGAAUUCCUGGUGUAGCGGUGAAAUGCGUAGAUAUCAGGAGGAACACCGGUGGUGUAGACGGCUAUCUGGACCGUAACUGACGCUGAGGCACGAAAGCGUGGGUAGCAAACAGG
rnacentral:rRNA from 1 species